rnacentral:tRNA from 1 species
GCGAGAGUGGUGAAAUUGGUAUACACGCCAGUCUUAGGAACUGGUGCCGUGAGGCGUAAGGGUUCGAGUCCCUUCUCUCGCA